AAACUCAAAGGAAUUGACGGGGACCCGCACAAGCGGCGGAGCAUGCGGAUUAAUUCGAUGCAACGCGAAGAACCUUACCAAGGCUUGACAUAUACGAGAACGGGCCAGAAAUGGUCAACUCUUUGGACACUCGUAAACAGGUGGUGCAUGGUUGUCGUCAGCUCGUGUCGUGAGAUGUUGGGUUAAGUCCCGCAACGAGCGCAACCCUCGUUCUAUGUUGCCAGCACGUAAUGGUGGGAACUCAUGGGAUACUGCCGGGGUCAACUCGGAGGAAGGUGGGGAUGACGUCAAAUCAUCAUGCCCCUUAUGUCUUGGGCUUCACGCAUGCUACAAUGGCCGGUACAAAGGGCUGCAAUACCGCGAGGUGGAGCGAAUCCCAAAAAGCCGGUCCCAGUUCGGAUUGAGGUCUGCAACUCGACCUCAUGAAGUCGGAGUCGCUAGUAAUCGCAGAUCAGCAACGCUGCGGUGAAUACGUUCCCGGGUCUUGUACACACCGCCCGUC
rnacentral:rRNA from 1 species